UUAUCCGAGGAGCGUUGCAGCGCCGGCAGGCGUGAGGCUCGGAUCCACAUCGCAACCACGCUCACCCGCU
rnacentral:ncRNA from 2 species